CACCCACUCACCAUCAUCAGCAUUUAAUGAUGGGAGGGGGUACCCCUUAAAUUUCAGAAAUGGCACGCCUCAGUUGAUGGCGACCACUCAGUAUGACCAGAACUUGGAAACGGGAUGGGGGAGUCCAGCUUAAAUUUCAUAAAUGGAGCCCCUCAGAUGACAACACUCACCCAGUAUCAUCAGUAUUUGAUGAUGGUUGGAGGUACCCCUUAAAUUUCAGAAAUAUCACGCCUCAGAUGAUGGCGACCACUCAGUAUGAUCAGAACUUGGAAACGGGAUGGGGGAGUCCUGCUUAAAUUUCAUAAAUGGUGCCCCUAAGAUGACAGCGCCCACUCAGCAUCAUCAGGGUCUGACAAUGGGGUGGGAGGUCUCCCUUAAAUGUUAUAAAUUGCGCCGCUCAAAUGACGACACCUUAACCUGUCGCCUAACUGACUGACAGGCUUUGCACGGGGAACUUUACAAAACAAACCAACUGCCUUGCACCGUGACUCAAAAUAACAAAAAAAAAAUUAAAAAGUGAAAAAUGACACAUAAUAUGAAAAUGUUGCUCAGUUUAUUCGACACACGUAUGAGAGCAGAGAUCGAGAUUUGUUGAAGAUUCCGAACUCUUACGGUUUCGUAGGAAGCCCCCCCAAAAUAAAACCUUCUUAGGAAGGUCCCUUUCAACACUGGCACCUUGGCGCUUCGGUCACUUUUCAUUGUCUUUUGUUUUUAGGCAGCUACGGAUCGGCGCUGAGAGGCUGAAGUCUCGACUCGAGUCGACUUCUUGACUUCUGUAAAGUUUACUGAGCCGUUUGCUCCUUCGCGGGGCACCCCGCCUGGGAUUAAAAACUUCGUGCGUCUUCCUUCGCCUUUCGACCAGAGCGAAGCUGGCGGUGUUGUCAGAGUUCGGGAAAGGCAGAGGCCGGGCGUGACGUUAGAGUGGCGGCUCCAGCUCAGGCACUCAGGGAGGGGAGGAACUAAAAAAAAAAAAAAAAAAAACUUGGGCUGAAAAUGGCUUCCUUGUCUUUGGAGGCUGGAACCCCGAAAGAGAGUCCGGGCGAAACGAGCUCAGGAGAGCUGGGCAGCCCGAGUCCCAAGGCGUCGGACGAACUGGGUGCCCUGGACGACGCCUCCGAACAGCUGCUGCAGACCCUGCGGGGCUCCGGCCUGAACUUCUCGGCCGAGCAGGUCUCGUGCGUGUGUGAGGCGCUUCUCCAAGCGGGCAAUGUGGAGCGACUCGGCAGAUUCCUGUCCACCAUCCCCGCCGCGCCGGAGCUGCAACGUGGCAACGAGACUUUACUGAAGGCCAAGGCGCUGGUGGCUUUUCACCGAGAGGAGUACAAGGAACUCUAUGCCAUCCUGGAGAGUCACUCUUUCCACCCGUCCAACCAUGCCUUCCUGCAGGACCUCUACUUGCAGUCGCGCUACCGGGAAGCGGAGAGGUCUCGGGGCCGACGACUGGGAGCCGUGGACAAGUACCGACUCCGUAAGAAGUAUCCCCUUCCCAAAACGAUCUGGGACGGCGAGGAGACGGUGUACUGCUUUAAGGAGAAGUCGCGCAAUGCGCUUAAGGAGUGUUACAAAAGCAACAGGUACCCGACCCCGGACGAGAAGCGGAACCUGGCCAGGCUCACCGGGCUCUCCCUGACCCAGGUCAGCAACUGGUUCAAGAACCGAAGGCAGCGGGAUCGGACACCAUCGGGGACUCAUAGUAAAAGUGAGUCUGAUGGCAAUCGUAGCGAGUCGGAUGACUCCACCAGAGGACUUGAAGAUUCCGCUCAUCUGACCCCGGUCAGUCAAGAGGAUCACGGCACUAUAAACAACAAUAUCCUCCUUUCGACAACAAGCACCCCAUGCAGCACGUCCAGCUCUAUGCUUCUAAACGGUAGUUUGAUCAAUGCCAACACGCAGCCGUUUCUCUUCAAUGGGGGAUCUCUAGUGCAGGCCUCUAAUGGCCGGGUGAUCAUCAAUGGGUUGACGUUUAGUGAUGGACAAACUAUUACACUUAGCCCUGUCAGCAGCAAUCCUCCUCUAUUAGUAACUGGCUCAACAGUCAUUGGAAGCAAGCCCCCAACUGGCACUCAGCAGGCCAACAAUAUAGAACAGAAAGACCCUGCUGUUGCGUCCAUUCUGCCAACCAUCAUUGUGAAUACGGGCAGCUCCACAUUGUCUCUUCCAGCAGCUGAAGAUGGGGUUGGAAAGAGUGAAGAUGAUGAACAGUCAAUGCCGACGUCCUUGGGUUUUGGGAACACUUCUAAUCUGGGGGCCUCGAAUGGCAUGGACCUCAAGAUUGAAAGCUUGCAGCCCACUAUGGAGACUUGUCCCACCCCCAGCACAACCUCCUCAGUGGUGUUUAACCAACAAGGGACAACACUGACUAUUCCAGGUGUACCCGGAGAAUUUAGAGUAGAUGAGCAGCAGGCAUUACAUUCGGGGUCCCCUUCCACCCCAACCUUGCAGACAAGCCAGGUGGUCCCACUGCCUUCCCAGCAACAGGCAACAGUGUUAACAUCUUCUGCAAAUCAUCUCGCUUCUGCUCCACAAGUCUUGGCCUUGCCACAGGUUGUGCCUUCGAUCCCAGGAAUCCCCGUGUCCCAAGUCAUCCAAGCCCCGUCGUCGCAGGGAACCACAUGUCCGCAACUUGUGCCAGUCUCCCCAGUUACAACCCAACUUAACCAGACUGCUCCAGCUUUUCAGCUUCCACAGGGAAUUCCUCAGCAACAGGUGGUGACCUCGGCAGCUCUGCCCCAUAUCUCCCAAGUUGGGACCUCACCAGCUCCACCACUGACUGUUCAGCAGGUCAUCCAGACUCCACAGGGGCUGCAGACAGUACAGACUCUAUCCCAGUUGCCCGCGCCUCAGAUCAUCCCCAUCUCUUCCCCAACUCAAGUCGUUCCCCUUUCGCAGCCAGGGCAUGCUUCACCAAAUGUGAACCCUACUGCACAGAUUGUGCCACUGUCUGCUCAGGUGGUUUCACCCUGCCCACCUCCUCUGCCACAAGUGGUACCCAGUUCACAAACAGUACCAGGGACGUUCCAGAUACUCACAAGUGUAAAUAAUGGCAACAACAGUGCUGUCAAGACCAGCCAGCCUAACGCCAUCCAGUUUCCUAGUAGCCCUCCUGUGGCACAAAAUGGCGGAAGCAUGGGCUGCACCACUGCAGGGGUACAACUCAUCAACUCGGGUGGCAUCUUCCAGCUACCUGCAGCUGCUCCAGGAAAUCUUAUCCUGACUAAUCCAGCAGGGGGCAGUACCCUCUUGACCUUUCAGCAAGGCAAACUGAUCCUCACUGCUACCUUCCCUGCCAGCAUGCUCGUCUCCUCAAGUGCCGCCUCGUUGGCUAAUCUGCCACUCAAGACAGAGUCUGAAUACAGCCAGAAUGGUGCUGGUACGGGUAUCGUCCUAACGCCGAUCAUUUCUGUUGGCCCAGGGCAGCAGAAUUGCCCAGUUAAUAACAUAUCCCCCAGUGGCACCUCCCUUCCACCAAUUUCUGCAGUUAUCCCCAUAAGCACCACUACCACCACCUCUUCCUCAGUUUCUGUGCCCCAAGAGGGAACAAUCACAAGUUCUCAACCCUCCUAUCAAACAGACAGCAAUAUCACCUUUAUCAAUCCUGGCGGAUUCUAUCCAAGCACUGCACCCGGGGGUGACAACAACGCUAUGCUUUCUUCAGUUAGUUUGAUGCCCGCCGCUUCUGUGGGUCUCACUUGCUCGGAUGUCAUCGGAGGCCUGAACUCUUCUGUGCCCAUGGGAGGAGUGGGAGCCAAUGCAGGCCAUCUUUCCUCGGCCAAUGUUACCGGCAGUGCAAUGUCAAACCUGGCUCAGGUUGUCUGGAGCCCAGCUCUCAAUCCCACUAGUGCGGUCUCGACUGGAUUGGUGCUGCCAUUGGGGUUAAGGAAAGAGGAUCGACUGCUGCCAGAUGAUGGUGUGGACCACCGGUCUCUACUUGCCUUGCCGGGAGGUGAAUCUCUCCUUUUGGGAACUGCACCUGAGGUCAGGGGGCAGCAGUUAGAGGAAGGGCCAGACAUGGACAGUGACGAUCUGGAAAGCGAUGGCAAGGUGCUCACACAGUUGCAAUCUGUUCCAGUGGAUGAGGACCUGGGAAUGUAGAAAAAGAAAAGGGAUGGAAUGGACACUUUUCUGAUAGUAGAGCCUGCCUGCUGCCCAGUGUGACGUUUGGAAUGGCCACGGCAACACUGACGAAUUGAGGAGCCUUACUUGGGCGCAUAUGAGUGUAAACACUUGGCAUUAAGCGAAAGGUCACAACGGUUUAUGGAUGUCACCUAAGUGUGAUGUGUCCACACAGUACAAACCAACCAGGCCGGCUGUAUUCACCUUUUCAGAGUGUGAUGGAUCUUUCAUUUUAUUUCCCCCCCAGUUAUAAACAGAAGAAGGGCAUCACUCGGGACUCCCUGGAGAGUGUGAGUGCAGGAUCCGUGUGCGAAAUUGGAAACACAAAUUGGGCUUCCUGCAUUUUUGCAAUAGUUAAGGAGCUCUUGACCCCUCUUAGGUGGACCCAUACACAUAAACUACUUGAAGGAUAUGCUGGCAGAAACCUUUUUUUACUUUCAGUCAGCAGAUUUUCUCCAUUAUGGAUGGAAGUUUUACCUUGAGACAUGAGAGGGGCAAAAAAAAAAAGGGAAAAUCUUUUCCACUGGUUCUUUGGUGAUGGUACGAUAUUUGAAACAUUUAAGAUGAAUAGGACUGUGUAGGAUUAGUAGACACUACCUGUACAUAAGGACAACUCUCUAUGCAAGCAAGUGGCAGUUACUGCUUGGGGGUGUGUGGGUGUGUGUGUGUGUGUUCGGAUUUUAUUUUUAUUUUGUAACUCUUUUUAAAUACAGCUGUAUAUUCCUGUAAAUUAGCAAGUGCCUUUUUUUUGCCCCUUUGUCAUGUUGGGGUGCAGCUCUAGGGUGGGUGUCCCAAGUCAGCCAUGACCAGAACUCAUGUAGUUGUCAUCAUUGGGUGCGGAGGGCUUUGUUUUUAUUAGGCAGCAGUCGGUCUUCUGGUGGUGUGUGUUGUGUCCGGGUGUUCGUUCUAACCAGCCUUCUCUUCAAGGACUCGUUCCUGCUGAAAAGUCCUCACCACUUUGUUAAACGUCUUGGACGUUAACAUGUUGACGUCUAAAUACAAGCUAGCUUGUAGCAGGCAAUCAAUAGAUGGAUGGAUGCCACUUAUGAGGGAGUGACUGAGAGUGUGUGUGUGUGUGUGUAUUGUGGCCUGCAGGGGGCGCCGACACAGACAGACACCAGGCAUACAUUUCAGCCCACGUGUAUUUUGUGGGGAAACGCGUCUUCCUCGCUACCCACAGCAGCUCAGUUUCUUUCUCUCUCUCGUCCUCCACUCCUCCUCUUGGAAGCUUCAUCAGACUGUACCUGGGUAUUCCACGUGGCCUCAUAGCAAGGUCACUCACACGUAUGCUGGAGGCCCAUCAGAGCAGGGCUCUGCCCUCUCCGACGCUCCUCCUGGUGCAACCCUUGGAUCUCAAUAGGGCUACUUGUGGGAAUCCAUGGUGCCAUGGGUGUGACCCUGGGGGAGAUAACGCCCUGAGCCCACUCUCUCCCCCCGGUCCUUCCUUCCAUCCAUCUGAUGUCCCGACCAGGCAGGGCUCCUGGCUGUGUGCAAUAAUACAGUGGAACGUUGGCUCACAACCGUAAUCCGUUCCAAAACUCUGCUCGCAACCCGAUUUGGUCGUGGCCCGAAGUAAUUUUCCCCCAUGGGAUUGUAUGUAAAUACAAUUAAUCCGUU